ACUAAAUUUAACUGCUAUCAUCAACUGACCUGGCCUUUGACUGCCUCCGCUCGAGUGGAUUUGCGAAAUGACCUUGUGUCAAAGAGAUUGGUUGCACUGGACAACUCCUCUGUGUAUAGCUGAAAGCGAUGUGAGCGUGUGUUGUCGACCUGCUGCGGGUUAAUAAAGGUUUAAAACGAACGGCGGAAGGAUUGUUUGCAACCAUCUGGCAGUGGCAGACUCUUUAUAGCACCAGACACAACUCAUAUCGUCCUGACGGGAUUCCAGCCAGCCGGUCCUUCAAUGGUGUGUGGUGAAGCAUAGAUAAGACCUUGUUCUGAUGCCCGAGAAAGAGAGAGAGAGCGGGGGAGAGUGAGAGAGAGAGAGAGAGAGAGAGAGAAAAGGAAGAGAGGGAAUAAAAUAUUGAUGAAGCACAAAAAUAGAGCGGUUCCGCAUCCCAAAUGAAGGGCAUAUCCACACACACACACACACACACAAAGCAGGGUGCAACAUUAAAGCAGAUGAGCAAAUCACAUAUGCACAUGCACACGCAUUGUGGUAUUUUUAUGCAUAAAACCAUGACUCAGCACAAAAAAAAUCCCAUCCACUUCCCACACAAGAGCUUUUCAACAGUCUCAAAUCUAUUCUUUUUUUUUUUCUUCUCCCUGAAAUAUAUUCCGUGUUGACACCAUGAAAUAAAUUUUUAAAAAAAGGAUCCUCUUUCAUAAUCCACAACCUGAGGUCAAUUCCGUGCACGGCCAAUGUGACCAUAUACAACAACAAGCGACAGCAGAGAAGUAAGAGACACGUGUUCAGAGUCCGUCAACACCUUGGGAGUCUCAAUGGAACCAGAGUAUCACAGUGGAACAAAAGGAGACAGUCAACCCACAUUACAGCCGCGGUGACAACACGACCGCGACAGCCGAGCACCGCAGCCCACCCGAGGUCACAUGCGACACGCCCACCUACCUGUUGACACUCGCUCAUAUAACACCACUGGAUGUUAAACGCGCGUGUGUUUCCAUUAAGUAGGACCCCGGCGGCCUUGGUGCUCAGCAAAUAACUGUUGAUAAAUUCAAUCAGAUAUCAAGAAUAAUGAAGAAGAAAAACUAAUUCAAUCUAACUGCUUUUUUUAAUAAUAUUUUUUAAUUUUUCAUCCAGGCGAUGGUUGCCACAGCAGCUCUCAAUCUUCAACACUUAAUUAAUUUGUUUCGCUAAGGCCUUAGAACUGACGGCGGACACACGCACAGCCCCUGGAGUCUCGCUGCAGAGCAAAUAAACCCUCGGAGACAUAUUAUCAUCAGCGGGGGAAAUGCUGCGUGCUUAUUUGUCAAGCCCGCAUACAGUAUAUGUGUUUGACCUUUAAAGGUAAUACCUGGAACUAAUUAUUUUUUCAGUUUUUAUCUUUUAUUGUUGUACUUCCUUCCCUUCGGGAUGUUUUGGGAAAACAACUGUUAUCUGAGAUAUACAGGGUUCUGUUUUUUUUUCUCAUUAAAACAGAAGUAGGCAUAAGAAAAACUUUAAGUCAAACUGUUAAAGUUACACACAAUAAUAAUCCACACACAGUGGCUUGGAUUCUUAAACUUUGUGACUGAAUGAAUGUCAUAAAAAAUUGUCACUGAGAGUCACUGUAGAGCUCACACACAUGCACGCACACACACACACACACACACACACACACACACACUGGUGGAGCACUAUUCCCAUCCAGCACUGGCCAAUUGCAGUUAAUUGCCUCGGCGAGAAGACUGAUUGGGUCCGAUAUUCACCGCAACAGGAUCUUAGAGGAAGAGAGGAUGAAGGAGGGAGGGAGAGAGGGAGAUAAAGCAAAAAAAAAACAACCCGUCACAGAGGGGCAAUUAACAGGCUGAUUAACUCCCAACUAUUGCCAGACUCUCCUCUUUUGUCUCCCUACAUGAGGGGGUGUGUGUGUGUGUGUGUGUGUGUGUCGGCCUGUACCGUGCUCUUAGGGAGAUCUUAUGACACUGAUGAAAUAUUUAUAUUGCUACACAGGUCACUGUUUACUUCUGUCUCCGCUCUUCCCCCCCGAUGAGCAGCUGUACGUCGGCAACCGGACCGACAGAAGUCGAACCCAAUGAGUCAGAAAUGAUUGGUGCAGAUGGGUGGAACAUCUCAUUGCGUAUCAGUCUACAUCACGGCGGACCAUCUCCCGAGGCUCGGGUUCCGUCUCAUUCUCGGGUUCUCCGAAGAACCCAACUUUGAGUUCUUUGAAUGAUGCCGUCCCUGGAUUGAGCACAAGAGGGAUGCUCAGCACGGAGCGGCGGUCAAAACCACAGAGUGACAUUUACGCGUUCAUGCAAAAUAGAUGAGGCCAGAAGCUCGGUGGCGACUAACACAGACACUUUCUGAACUGCUGUAGUUGGUGAGCUAACAUCUUCUCUCCGUUUCCUCUUUUCGCUCCAGUUAAGCUGCAACUCUGACAAUCAAGCAGAACUUGCAUUUACCCAUCGUAAAUCUAUUACAUCCAAUAUCAAAUCUAUGAGUCGUAGCCUUGUUGCUCCGAAAGAGGUCUCAGCCAUUAUUUCCUAUUUUUGGGUCCCUUGUCUUUUGUAAUAACAUUUAUAUAGUCUCAACACUGUACUUCACGAUCAAGUUCUUUUUUCCCGGACAAUCUGGGCUCUCUCAGGAUAUGUACUAUGUAUGCUGCAGUGAUGCCAGAAUGACUAACAGUACUCAAAUAGCACUAAACCCCUGUAGAUCUCAUUCUUAAACACACAGGCCGACCUCAGAUAAAGCCUGCGACCCAAACCUGAUCAUGGUGUGAAACACAAAGCAAGACUCGACACCUCAUCCCGCAUGUGCACUUAAAAAAAAAGGCUCUACCCCGACUACAUGCAUGCAAUAAACCAUGAAAGAAAUGUUUUAACCCACGUAUCAAAGUCUGACUUUGAAAAAAAGCGUUGGACUGAGGAAGACUUUUUUUUCUCCAUAUUUGUGAGAAUGUCACCAAUCACUCCUUGGUUUGCGACGGGACCAAAACUUCUUCCGGGAUCAUUACCUGCGAGGACGACUCUUUUUUUUUUUUUUCAAAUUUCAACCUCAAACUUGCUUGUUGAACGUGACAGAUCCUGGAACGCUGGGAAGACCGGUUACCUUAGCAACCUGGCACCUUUUGGUUCCUUUGUAUCGCUGUGAGAGAGGACGUUGGAAACAGAGAGGCAGCGAGCGGUUGGCAGAUCGGCUGACAGACAGGCCGGCAGACAUACAGCGGGCAGGCGUAGGGUAGUGUAGACAGGCGGGCAGCUGGACAGGACAGCAUCACUUGUGCAUUAGGAUCCCAAUUAGUGCAAAGAGGAAGGAGAAGUUUCUGAAAAGCAAGAAAAAUGAUGCAAUAUACAGUAAAAGUUAAGGAAAGACAAUGAUAUUCUUUUUUACCUGAAGUGGAGCUUGAGAAAGCAUGAAUAUGAGCAAGCGUUGGUACAGAUGAUACAAAUACAGAAGAAGAAGCAGGCAAUUAUAAAGUAUGCACAUACACAGUACAUGCAAUAAACUUAAGACAGACAAUAAGACAUAAGUAGAGGUGUUGUGCAAUUUGCAGACGGAGACCCAAACGUGCAUGUAUGGUUAAUGUAGGGCAUCUUGUGUGGACCCAAGGUAUUAGGAACAACAUCAGUCUGAAUGGUUGAGGAGGGGGCUACGGGCUCAGCCUUAGAGAUAAGGGUGAGGAGUCCUGACAUCCAGAGGGUAAAGCCGCUGCUCCUUACCGUCGGAAAGGGUCAGUUGAGGUGGUUGGGGGCGUCUCCUCGGGACACCCCCUGGUUGCCGCGGGCCCAACUGGAAGGAGACCCAGGGGUGGACAUCUACGUCUCCCGUCUGGCCUGAGAACGCCUCAGGAUGCCCCGGGAGGAAAGUGUGGCUGGGGAGAGAGACGCCUUGAACGCUCUGCUUAGUCGACUGCCUCCUCCACCCGAUCUGCGAUGAGCAGAAGAACAUCUACAUGUCACUGUGUCCUCUUCUCCUCUCACAUUCUCACUUUUGAAGCUCUUUUGAGGGAUUGUUCCUGACGAGCACUGUCCGCCCAGUCUGACCCGUUCCAACAGACCCGCUGUUCAUGUGCGAGGCAAAUCUUCCUCUCCUCGCAAAAAUGCAGGACGGCGAACCGGCUGCCUGUGAUGAAUCACAAGACCAAAUUGUGUGAGAGAUGUCGGAUUUGAUAAAAGGAGAAUCGAUUCCGAGCACGUCUCCGAUGCCGGGAUGAGCCUCAGCAAGCAAACGAGCUCCAGGAUGUGAAAAGGAUGGAGAGAGGACGGAGGACAACAGCUGCUGCUGCUGCAGAGAGAAAGAAAGAGGGAGAAGAGGGGCAAUAAUGCAGCGCGCUGUGACAAGACGUGAUGACUCACUACCUGAAAAACCCAAGGGGUUAUUAUUAUUUGGCAGAAAUGUACUGUAUGCUGCAAGCCCUGAUCCCGUCAAGUCAGCAGGUCUGAGCUGUACAUGUAUGUGUGGAUGCACAAACGGCAUUUUGCGGGGUUGUCCUAUUCCAUUUCAGUCAACAAGCUGAAAGAGUAAUGAAAUGGUGCUGACCUACCUACUGAAUACACACACACACACACACACACACACACACACUCUUCCACCUUGCUCUUUCAAAGGCUACUUUUACAGCGAGCUCAUUUUACCAAAACCACCUGACAACACACACAACGGAAAGAAAACAAAUGCACACGGAAACAAAAUGUAAAAGUCCUACGCAGCCGAUUACACUUCGGCAAAGCUUCAGAGAGCCAGGGCCGGACCCGCGGGGGACCCUGGUAGCAAAUGUCAAGCGUCUUUAAAGGCUCAAAGACGAGCCAUUAGAGGAGUUGGCGUGACACGGCGUUUCAAUAUUCCAUCUCGCUCGCACCUUUGGAAAUGUCAUCACUGCGUUUGAGCUUGUUCCGGCUUGAUUACAGUCAUCAUCCUUUCAGCCAGCCAAGACUUGGGAAUGCAUUUACUGAAAAUCCACUUGAAAAACUAUAUACAUCCCCACACACACACACACACACACACACACACACACACACACACACACGGGCAUGCUUUUAGAUGCAAACGUCAUAUUCACACACAUUGGUGUGAUACAGAGAAAUGGAAAUGUUCCACUCACUGACAAUAUGACAGGCCAGUUGUUCUUGUGCUUUUUGAUGCAUCUAUUUUCUCUCCAUCCCCACCACACACACACACACACACACACACACACACACACACACUCAUGCUUUUAGGCUCUUUUAGACGUCGUUCCAACACGAACUUCUGACCAAUGACCAUUGGUUUCAAAGACUGAAGGGACUUUAGCACUGGCUUUCAGACAAGUUGAAGGAUGUGCAGACAAGCACCAUUAUAAUACCCCCGUGUACAGACUCUGCCUUUGGUCCAUAAAUUGAGAAUAAAUGGCUGUUUACUUGCAUUUUGGCUUAUUAUUUUCCUCAAAUCAGUGAAAUUAGUCCACAACAUAUCAGACAAUCUGUUUUUUUCUUUUUUCACAUUUAGCUACUGGGGCUAUGAAAAGGGAGCAGCAAAUUGAUAAAAAGCUUUUACAUUAUUGUUCCCGUUGCGGCGCCGAUUGUGUAUGAAGAGAGGCAUAGGCUCAGUCUGGUAGUAAUCAGACAAUGUUGCCUCAAAAAGGAGUGCUUCAAAAAGACAGAGACAGAGAGAAGAAAAGGAGAGUUUCAGUGGAGUACGCACACUGCAGGUAAAGGUGUCAUCCAUUAGUGAGCCUUUUAUUGACUAUUGGAGUAUUGGAAAGAUCCUCACCGCAAGAAAAAAUGUGUUUCGUGGAGGGGAUGAAUUAACAAGUACACAAAUCGCUGCAGAUAUCAACUUAAUUAGUCACUGGAGAGCUGCAUUAAUCUGGCUGAACUCAAUUAGAGUUUUCUAACCUAAUCGACAUCGUAUUCGCCUCAGAAAGCACAACAAGCCACAGUCGAUCUGGAUUAUUUUUAUUUUUUUUCCCCAGUUCCAGUUGUUUCUCUUUUCUUGAAACGCCACGUUCUCAUUUUUUUUUCGUGUCCCCCAGCGCUGAACUGGAUUUGUCAAAGCAGGUUUGUUUUGAUCCCCUCGUGUUUGAGUCAUUCGAGGUCAACACCCGUUGACGGCCGCGUCUCCCCGGGGAACCGGGGUCACGGCCCGUGACCAAUCCGGCAGGCCGAUUCUUAAUAUUUUGGCCUAUUGAUUGACGGCAGGACGACGAACACGUUUGAAUUGUGAACAUGCAUUGAUUCGCAGUGGCGUGUAUUAUCAUUCCACGUGCUAACACGAGCUGUGAGCGGCGGCCUGACAGGUGGCGCGAAGGCAAACAGAGAUAUGGUUAUUAAUCAGCACCGCUGGUGGCUGAGGGUGUGAAUACAUAUUGAUGUGUGCGGACACAAUGUACAGGUUUUGUACCUGUACAUUGUUUGUAAAUUAAUUAUUGCAAUUAAUUUACAAUAAAUGUUAUUGGCGACUACAAUUCUGUGAUGGCUUUUGAUUCACAGUAACAAAGGACGUGACUUUUCUCUGUUCUCUGUUGACAUGUACGCUGUGCCUCUUUAAAAAGAGCUAGAGGUGGUGUCAUUAUAUUUUACAUUAAUUCGGAAUAAAUGCACGGUCUUAAUUGAUUUGCAACUCGUAAUUCUCGCAGUUCUCUAGGGUGCGUCGGUACUGAAGCAUAUGUUGUGUUUUUUUGUGUUAUGGUGUUUCAUCACCAACCUGCCGAAGCUUACAGUAAACUUACUCCAUGAUUUGAUGUUGCAUUAUUUAACACAGUUGGAAAAAAAACAUAGAGUUCAUGCAACUCAAACCGAUCCGUAUACAGCAGUUCAAAGUGAUGAAGACUUUCUAGGACACUCUGAUGGAUAUUGUUGUCUGUUGAUGAACUAUAUUGCCUUCAACAUCAUUUUGUAGUUUUCAUUUUUUUUUUCAAAGCAUGAAUUUGACGAGCAAGUACGUAACAACUGUAGCAACUAACACUUUCUACAUUUCCCUUCAAAAGUUGGACCAAACUGGGUCGGCCUUUCCUGGAUGUGUCUUAAUAAUUAACAGCAACAUACCAGCUGAGGUCUUGGAAAUUAUGAGCGAAUUUUCCAGGUAAUUAACUGAAAAAUAUGAGGCCCAUAGCAGAAAGUUUGUGUCUCCGAAUGUGUUUAUCUGGUAUUUCCUUAUUCUACUGUUAUUUUCCACAAAUGCUACUGUACGUGGACUGCACUUUUUCUCGUCUAAUCAACCUCUCAAAGCGUUUUACACUACACAUAACUCAUCCGUUCACACACACACACACACACACACACACACACACACACACACACACACACACACACACACACACACACACACACACACACACACACACACACACACACACACACACACACACACACACACACACACACACACACACACACACACACACACACACUGAUGGUGCAACCAAUUUGGGGUUCAGAAUCACUUCAACAUGCAGACUGCAGGAGGCCUGGAUGACACCACGACUCACACGGCCCACAGCCGGUGGCAGUGAUCAGUUGACGUAUUGAUAAAAUACAACUGGUGUGUUUAUGUGAAAAUCUUGUGGAACGUUGUUUCAGAGAAAAUGGCAUCAUUAGAUGCACUUGUUCAUGCUUGUGGAUUGGAACAUGGAGAGAGAGGAAGUCAACGGCUCAUGUGAGACACGCGGUCGGUGGGAGGAGGCCGCUGUCACUCAGGAUGACCACGGCGGCGACUGUGACUCCUGUGACACUCUGUGACAGCUAGAACUGCCUCGAGUCCCGCUCAGGCUUCUGGAUUCAACAACAAGACAUGGACAAACGUGCUCAGUCAGCCGGGGAGGACAGAUGAAGCACAAACACUGACAUCGGUGACAGGAGAAGCGAGCAGUCAGGCGCCCCGGAAAAGGGCAGGAAACCAAAGGACCAUCACUCAAGUAAAAAGCAAAACACAUGUUUAUAAAAGAAAACAAGGAAAAAAAAGUUAUUUCACAGUCGGUGAUUCAGCUUCAUGGUUCUGUCUGCAACGUUUUACUCUGCCAUUAUAAAAUGAUCAAGUAAAGUUUUUGGAUUUACCUUAUAAUAAGAGGUUUGCAGGGGAUCUCUGUCUGUGCCCGCAAAAUCUCAAAAACCCUUCUUUUCAAUGGCAUGUGUACUGUCAAAGCGGUUUGGACCUGUGAUAUGUUCAAUAUUAAUAAACGUCGGAUGAACAGACAAACAGCGCUCGGCCUGAACAGGAAGUCUGAGGACUUUGUUGAACAUGUCUUCUUCCACGUCCACAGUUUGUCCAUAUCCACAGGCCGUGUCUUCUCUUACGUUCCCGCAGCGUGCCUCAAUACAAAGGGUCGCCCUCGCUCGCAGCAUUUCACUGCAACCAAUGAAAAGUGCUCUAUAAAUAAAAUGCAUUAUUGUUAUUAUUACUUCAACUAACCUUUUUUUCCGCCACUAAACGCUCAACUCUAUAAUCUCCGUGCUUAUGUCAGAUUACUAGCUACUAAUGGCCCUAUUUGGAAAGUGGUGAUCCCAGACAUUUACCCAACUUGCCAAACAGUAAAGUCAACCCCUGGUGUAGAUUCCCCGCUCCGGCUGCUGCAAUAUGUGACUUAAAUUGAGGUUAAUUUGUUAUUGUUGCCGUGACAAAAAAAAGGUGGUACGCUGCUAUUGGUCGUGUCCAAGGGAAGGGACAAACAACGUAUUUGAUCAUUAAUGUUGGAGGACGUGGUGAUAGAUGUCUGUCUGCAGACUGCAGCAACAAUGUCAACGAGUGAAACGAUUAGGAAUGAUGGCAUCAAAAUAAGCCUGUACAAACAGCGGACUAUCCCUUUAAGAAAAUUUUAUAGGCAUAUGGAUCAUGGCUCACACAAUGUCAUCGGAUGUUAUUGCAGCAUGACUGCAUUUCAGUCACGUUGACGAGUAAUCAGCUCUGUGACCCGACUAAUAAGGAGACAAUAUUGUUUUGCCGCAAUCUCUGGAGCUCAUUCCGCUGCCAGAUGGAUUACUUUUGGUAAUUAAGACGAUAAAAACACACGCAGAUACAUAAACACACUCAAAGAAAGAGAAAAAAGAAAAAAGAACAGUUUGACAUAUGACAAAGGCGAGAUUGAGAGAGAUAUAAAACACAAUAUAAAUUAUGGAAGUGACCAGGGAGAGUAGGAGAAGUUGUUAACGGAACAAGUCACACACAUUCACCUUGAUUUUCCUCAUUCCUCAUACUCAAACACAUUUUGUGGUAUCCACACACACACACACACACACACACACACACACACACACACA